UAAGGAAUAUCGGACAAUGGACGCAAGUCUGAUCCAGCCAUGCCGCGUGAAGGAUGACUGCCCUCUGGGUUGUAAACUUCUUUUAUAGGGGAAGAAAGUUAUUUUUUAGGAUAUUUGACGGUACCCUAUGAAUAAGCACCGGCUAACUCCGUGCCAGCAGCCGCGGUAAUACGGAGGGUGCAAGCGUUAUCCGGAUUCACUGGGUUUAAAGGGUGCGUAGGCGGGUAUGUAAGUCAGUGGUGAAAUACCGGAGCUUAACUUCGGAACUGCCAUUGAUACUAUAUAUCUUGAAUAUUGUGGAGGUAAGCGGAAUAUGUCAUGUAGCGGUGAAAUGCUUAGAGAUGACAUAGAACACCGAUUGCGAAGGCAGCUUGCUACGCAAAUAUUGACGCUGAGGCACGAAAGCGUGGGGAUCAAACAGGAUUAGAUACCCUGGUAGUCCACGCCCUAAACGAUGAUUACUCGACAUUAGCGAUACACAGUUAGUGUCUGAGCGAAAGCAUUAAGUAAUCCACCUGGGAAGUACGACCGCAAGGUUGAAACUUAAAGGAAUUGACGGGGUCAUAGCUGUUUCCU
rnacentral:rRNA from 1 species